GCCAAAAAUUGAAAGCGAGAAUGACUCUCUAAACUAGACACACAUAUAGAAAAGCUAUUGAAGAAUACAAAGAUAUCAAAAAUGAUUUACUCCAAUGACCCUCCAAAUGGCGAUUUAAAUUGUAGAUUUUAGAAAGGCUCUCAGAAAUACUUUAUAUGGCUGGAUGGUGAGUUAAAGAUGUAGCUAUUAGUAACUCCAAAUCUGCUAAUGGAAUACUGCCUGUUCGCUUGAGUUUAUCUGUUGAAUCUGUCAGUCAUUCAACGUCAUUUUUCUCUCACAAAAAAUUAGCGAACAGUAUUUUCAACUAUGACUUAUCAACCAAACAAAAAUGAUCUUUAGCUACUAAUUUUUAAAAUUAAUGCUAAUGGAUCUAAACAUGAUUUUAAAAUGGAUUGUAUUUUUUUUCCUUUUUUUUAUUUAGAUAGACUCUCCAAUCAGCAUAGUUUAGGAGAAAUGCUAUAGAAAAAUGGCUUCUGGAUUUAGUGUUUAUCCAGAUAAGAUACGCGUGUCAGAUUAUGCCUCCAGGGUUAAAAAUAGGCAGCCAAUUAUCACCAACACCACCUACUAGCGCCUUGGUUAGUUCCAAAAAAUUUUGUAAAAUUUUUCAGAUUCUCCGUCACAUCAAAUCUUUAGACGCAUGCAAGCUUAUUACACAGUUUGUCUGUAAAAACUAAUUGCACAGUUUGGUCGGAAUUGACAAGGCGAAUCUUUUGAGUAUAGUUAGUCCAUAAUUGAAUAAUAUUUGUUAAAUACAAACAAAAAUAGUAUUAUUCCUAGUUUGCAGAAUUUUUUUGAACUAAACAAGGCCUUUAGUUCCCCACCGAAAUCCAAAAUUUUUUCAAGAUUCCCCGUCACAUCGAAUCUUACGGCACAUGCAUGAAGCACUAAAUAUAGAUGAAAACAAAAACUAAUUACACAGUUUGUCUGUAAAUCGUGAGACGAAUCUUUUGAUCCUAGUUAAUCUAUGAUUGAACAAUAUUUACCAUAAACAAACGAAAGUGCUACGUAGCGAAAUCAAAAAAAAAUUCGUAUAAACAAGGCCCUAGCUCGAAACAAUCGAUGGCAUAGCUCCAGGGCUGCUUGAGGUUUUCGAUCCCGGUCCUUGCGACACGUCGUCGCGGCCUCGUGGAGGCCGUGGGAGUGUGGGAC
rnacentral:lncRNA from 1 species